rnacentral:rRNA from 1 species
CCAACAGCGUAUAUUAAAGUUGUUGCAGUUAAAAAGCUCGUAGUUGAAUUGAGGGAUUGACGUGACGGUCGUGCCUUACGGGGUAUGAACUGUUGCUGUUGAUUUUUCUCACCUUCUGGAGAAACUUGAUGUCCUUAAUUGGGUGUCUUGCGGAUCCAGGACCUUUACCUUGAAAAAAUUAGAGUGUUUAAAGCAGGCAUUUUGCUCGAAUACAUUAGCAUGGAAUAAUAGAAUAGGACGGCAUGGUUCUAUUUUGUUGGUUUCUAGGAUCACCGUAAUGAUUAAUAGGGAUAGUUGGGGGCAUUAGUAUUCAAUUGUCAGAGGCGAAAUACUUGGAUUUGUUGAAGACUAAUUACUGCGAAAGCAUUUGCCAAGGAUGUUUUCAUUAAUCAAGAACGAAAGUUAGGGGAUCGAAGACGAUCAGAUACCGUCGUAGUCUUAACCAAUAAACUAUGCCGACUAGGAAUCAGACGAUGUUAAUUUUUUAAUGAUUCGUUUGGCACCUUACG